rnacentral:rRNA from 1 species
AUUGAAUGCUGGCGGCAGGCCUAACACAUGCAAGUCGAACGGAGUGGCGGACGGGUGAGUAAUGUCUGGGAAUCUGCCUGGUAGUGGGGGAUAACGUCCGGAAACGGUCGCUAAUACCCCAUACUCUCCGUUUAGCCUAGGUGGGAUUAGCUAGUUGGUGGGGUAACGGCCUACCAAGGCGCCGAUCCGUAACUGGUCUGAGAGGAUGACCAGUCACACUGGAACUGAGACACGGUCCAGACUCCUACGGGAGGCAGAAGUGGGGAAUUUUGGACAAUGGGCGAAAGCCUGAUCCAGCCAUGCCGCGUGUGUGAAGAAGGUCUUCGGAUUGUAAAGCACUUUAAGUUGGGAGGCGUUACCAACAGAAUAAGCACCGGCUAACUUCGUGCCAGCAGCCGCGGUAAUAC